CACGUAGGGCGCAAGCGUUGUCCGGAAUUAUUGGGCGUAAAGAGCUCGUAGGCGGUUUGGUAGGUCCGCUGUGAAAACUCGAGGCUCAACCUCGAGACGCCGGUGGAAACCAUCAGGCUAGAGUCCGGAAGAGGAGAGUGGAAUUCCUGGUGUAGCGGUGAAAUGCGCAGAUAUCAGGAAGAACACCCGUGGCUAAGGCGGCUCUCUAGUACGGUACUGACGCUGAGACGCGAAAGCGUGGGGAGCGAACAGG
rnacentral:rRNA from 1 species